rnacentral:rRNA from 1 species
CGGACUGGUGAGUAACGCGUGAGGAACCUGCCUUUCGGAGGGGGACAACAGUUGGAAACGACUGCUAAUACCGCAUGAUACAUUUGGGCCGCAUGGUCUGAAUGCCAAAGAUUUAUCGCCGAAAGAUGGCCUCGCGUCUGAUUAGCUAGUUGGUGGGGUAACGGCCCACCAAGGCGACGAUCAGUAGCCGGACUGAGAGGUUGGCCGGCCACAUUGGGACUGAGAUACGGCCCAGACUCCUACGGAAGGCAGCAG